CAGAACCCGUUUAUCAGAACGUUGUAAGUUACAAUGUCAGGCGAGUUCCCAGCAUCAGCAAGAUGCGCAAGGUCCUUGUACGCCUUGAGAAUCGAACCGGACUCAACCAUGGUGUCGAAACUCCGGUUUCCACUAUGCGAAAGCCGUAGAAACAAGGAAGCAGGUCUCCCUACUUCCAUUUUAUGCAGCAAAAACCUAGCUUCCUUGAGCUCACCGGACUUGCAGAGACCAUCGAUCAAAGCGUUAAAACUAGGAACCGAAGGAGAACAGCCUCUCUUCUCAAUCUCAUUGAAAAUUUCUUCAGCUUUCCUAACUAGACCAUUCCUGCACAUACUACAAAUCAGGAUCGUCUGUGUGAACUCAUCAGGGAAGGAUUCCGUUUCCGACAUCUCGAGAUGAAGAGACCGAGCCUCUUCCAAAAGCCCCUGCUCACAUAGAGCCUUUAUAACAGCAUUGUAGCAGUAAGUAUCUGGGGGAAUACCUUGACUCGGCAUGCUGCUUAGCAGCUUCAACGCAUCCUCAAUCUUCCCUGCUUUGGAUAACCCUUGAAUCAGUAUCGUGCACAAAACAACAUCAGGCUUGAUAUUCUUCUUAAGCAUAAUCUCAUACAACUCAAACCCCUCAUCGUAUCUCCCACCUCUAAACAAUCCAUCGAUCAAACUGCUGCAGGUCGUCCAGACAAGAUAUCUUCUUUAAGUAUUUCAUCCAUAGACUAACAGCCACCGUGAUCUUUCUUUUCCGACAUGACCAUGUCAUGAGCGAUUUGUAAACGGCUGGACUGUGUCUGAAGUCAUCUUUCGCGUAAAAGAGUUUAAAAGCUUCUUCUUCUCUACCAACUCUGUGUAGUCCGUUGAUGAGAGUGUUGUAAGUGACGCUGUCAGGGGAUAAACCCUUUAGCUGAAGCACAUUGAGAAGCUUGAGAGCACCGUCAAUGUCUCCCGCUUUGCAGAACCCGUUUAUCAGAACGUUGUAAGUUAUAAUGUCAGGCGAGUUCCCAGCAUCAGCAAGAUGCGCAAGGUCCUUGUACGCCUUCAGAAUCGAACCAGAUUCAACCAUGGCGUCAAAACUCCGGUUUCCACUAUACGAAAGCCGUAGAAACAAAGAAGCAGGUCUCCCCACCUCCAUUUUAUGCAGCAAUAACCUAGCUUCCUUGAGCUCACCGGACUUGCAGAGACCAUCGAUCAAAGCGUUAAAACUAGGAACCGAAGGAGAACAGCCUCUCUUCUCAAUCUCAUUGAAAAUUUCUUCAGCUUUCCUAAC
rnacentral:lncRNA from 1 species